rnacentral:lncRNA from 10 species
GUGAGGAGCGUCUCUGCCUGGCCGCCCAUCGUCUGGGACGUGAGGAGGCCCUCUGCCUGGCUGCCCAGUCUGGAAAGUGAGGAGCGUCUCUGCCCGGCCGCCAUCCCAUCUAGGAAGUGAGGAGCGCCUCUUCCCGGCCGCCAUCCCAUCUAGGAAGUGAGGAGUGGCUCUGCCCGGCCGCCCAUUAUCUGAGAUGUGCAGAGCGCCUCUGCCCCGCCGCCCCGCCCCGUCUGGGAUGUGAGGAGCGCCUCUGCCCGGCCACAACCCCGUCUGGGAGGUGCUGUGUCCACUCAGGAUUAAAUGGGUCGGUGCAAGAUGUGCUUUGUUAAACAGAUGCUUGAAGGCAGCAUGCUCGUUAAGAGUCAUCACCACUCCCU